UACGGGGGGGGCGAAGCGUUGUUCGGAAUUACUGGGCGUAAAGGGCUCGUAGGCGGCCAACUAAGUCAGACGUGAAAUCCCUCGGCUUAACCGGGGAACUGCGUCUGAUACUGGCAGGCUAGAGUGCGGUAGAGGAUGGCGGAAUUCCCGGUGUAGCAGUGAAAUGCGUAGAUAUCAGGAGGAACACCGGUGGCGAAGGCGGCUUCCUGGACAGAAACUGACGCUGAGGCGCGAAAGCUAGGGGAGCAAACAGG
rnacentral:rRNA from 1 species